GGCACCAUGGCCUAAUGGUAAGGCGUUGCUUUCCGGUGGCAAAGAUUAUGGGUUCGAGUCCCAUUGGUGUCG